ACUCUGGCUGGAACCAACUCUCUGGCGCACUGUACUGCGAGGCACUACUGGAUACUCCUUGGUACUAUUUUGCAGCUUUGGUGAUGAUCAUCUCCGUCCCCACCUCGUGAAACUUCAUCCAGAGUUCCCUCUCGUGCAGAAAAGAUGAAGAGAUGAAGAACUCCCUCCUGUUCCAGCAUGGUUUCACCCUGCAUGGCCACACAUGGGCCUGUGGUCUGCCUACUGCCCAGAGUCUUUUUACUCCCCCACCU